CCAGCCAGGCCACCAGGGUGGGCCCCGCGCUCAGGUGGGACGCCAGGAUCUUCUUCAUGGCCCCGCCCACAAACACCGUCACCACGGCCAGGAGAGUGCAGCCCUCCGGCUCCACCGCUCAAUAUAUAGAGGCUGCAGGGGGAGGGGCAACAGGCUGCAUUUAAUCUGCACACACACACUGGUAUCUGACCAGCCUCGCUGCUGAUUGGAGCUUUGGUCACGUCUCUGAUGUGCAGAGAGGAAGAAAUGGAGCUGCUGAUUGGCUGGAGGGAGUCACUGCUCUAAGGGGCCCCAUCCGAGGGACCAACCUGUCCCCAUCUGUCCCCCAGCAGGUCUGAGCAACAGAAAAUGAUCAAAGUCCAGAAGCUUCUUCCUCACAUCCAAAGCCUGCUGGCCUUCAGCGCCUGUCAGUUGCCAUUUGCUCCACUAGGUGUCACUGUGACCCUCAGCAGAGCUUUUAGCAUCUGGGUUUAAAACAAGAAAAUAUUCAAGAAAGAAAAGUUUUAUGAAGCGUUUUGAUUUCAGAGGAGCAGAGAGACGAGGCGCCAGGGGAAUCUUUAAAUCUGGACUUCCAGAUGAUCUGAGCUCCGUCUCCCAGCAGUCACGUGACCGCGUGACAUCAUGUGGCUACCUGCUUGGUGGUUGAAUCAUUUCCUGUUUGCUUUGACUCGCUGUGAUGCUGACAGUUCCUGAGGAAGUAACCCCGGCUCACGAUGUGGCUGCCGCCGUGCUUCGCUGUGGCCGAGACGUUUUUAUAGACCCUUCCUGGUUUCUUCCGGUGCUGGCGGCCAAUCAUAACCCAACCCUGGCUAACCCAUUUUGCUGUUACGGUUACAGGUGUAUAAAAAUCUAACGUAACAAUGAGAAGCGACGCCUGGUGCUGCUGUUGCACCCAGGAAACCCUGCUUCAUUCACUCUUUCCUGCCUGGAGGUUCCAGUUUGUCCCAUCAGACCAGAAGACGUCCUGCGUCCAGGCUUGCAGUCUGUAGUCCAGACUUGAGGAAAACUUGGCUGUCUCAUGGAGAACAGAUGGAAACUACUGUCCUGCCCCUCGCAGCCUCUCUGCCGCUUACUGUCUUUCAUUAGAAAAGUUUUUUAUAUUUCUCUCCCCAGCAGAUGUUUGUUUCUCAGAAGAGAAAGGAAGAAAUGUCAGGUUUCAUCAUUUUGUCUCUACCUGGCAUGCUAACAGGGAGCAGCUGUAACUUAACACGUCGUUCCUGAACCUUCCAGUAAGGCUGCUCCGUUUCUCUGCAACGAGGAAAAGCGACAUUAGGAGCAUGAAGGCCGGCAGCACCCGCUGAGAGGAGCAGCAGCUGAAAGCUCUCGGAAAAUCUGACACGACUCUUUGUUCAGAGAGCUGAACUCGUCUGACCCAAGACGGGACAAAAGCAGCGACCAGCAGACACACACUUACUGCUGGACAGCAGCUGGGAGGAACAGGAAGUUUCUG